UGAAGGACAAUCGGAUUGCGGAGUUGAUUAAAGACUCCUGUUGUGUGUUUGGACCUUUCUUUCUUGGCACAGUCUCACUUAAAUGGCCGCAUCCGACUAGCAGAAUACUUUGGAUUACAUCAACAACAUAUUUCCCACAGGUCUUUCUUCUCUCUAUGAACAAGUUUGUUUGCAGAACAAGGGUUUUAAUCCAAUGCUGCUCGCUCAUGAUCUCAAACUGUUUCCCCUUUUCUUUUUAUGAUGAUGUAGUUAGUUUCUGAAUUUGACUAAUCCCUAUUAAAUUCGGUUGAAUUGAUAAUUGUUAAUUUGAGACAAUUACCUUCACACUGAUAUCUAUCAAGUCUCACUUUAAAUGGUUCUUGCUAUCAAAUGGUGUUAGUUUGAAAAAAAAGGUUUGAUUUGUACGUAGCUGAGAGAUAUAACUUUGCUGGUACUAUUGACUCAUUGAAACAGAAUGGAGUGCUUCACUUUGGAUUUUCUAAACCCUUAAAAGUUCUGGUAUUCUUUCUCUUCAAAUCAACCAUAAAAUCCAAAGAGGAUGAUGAAAUUUAAUACGUAUUAUUGAGUUAGUUAGGUUUGAUGGGAAUAGAAAAAUUGCAAACGCUUCAGGUUUUAUGUAAAAAGGAUCAAGGAGAUCCUCCCUCAGUUAGAUCAAUGGAUACUAGAGCUUGUAAGGAACAUAAGUAUUUCAGUUUUCUUUAUUUUAUCAAACUUCCAUUAAGGAUGUAUAGACGAUACUAUAUGGUAAGGAUCUUUGUUUUAUUCAUCAGUCAUUAUUGGGAGAAAACCAAGAGGUCUCUGGCCUUUCCUGAUUCACUUUGUCUUUGAUCAAUUUCAACACUUAUUGUUCUUUCCUGUUUGAAAUCAUUUCUCUCUGCUCCUCUUUUUUUUACUUUGGGUUUACUGUAGUAAAUCCAUUGAUAAAAAUGUGUGAUUUCUGUAAACAAGAGGUAUGAUAAAUAGAGUUUAGGGACAAGCAUUGAGAUUCAUAAAGUCCAUCAUUUAUUUGUACCAAUGGAUCUCAUGGGCUUAAACAUGUCUAGAAAACAAUAGUUUUCUCAAGAUUUGGUUGAAAGUCUCAUUCCUUGUCUUAAAAUUUUUAGUUAAGACUUGGGAAAUAUAUCGAGGCAUUAGAUAGGAACUGAAUGUUCUGUACAGGGUUAUGUCACGUCAGUAACAGUCCUGAUCAUUUAUAGAUGGAUUCCAAACUUUUUCUCUGAAGUUGGCCGUUGUUCUCUUGUAUAAUCUAUCUUAUGAAAUAUCCAAAUGGUAAAGUUAAAUGGAUAACAGAUUGUUCUGUUUGGUGGAAGUUCUUUCAGGAUAUUCACUAAAAGGGUGACAGGACGUUGAAUUUGGAAUAGAGGGAGUUGGAAGCUUUACUUAGGUAUUUUGCUCAAUUUGUUUUUCAAAAUUACUCUUUUGUGUUUAUGAGACUUUAAAAACUUAGCUUUUCUAUAGUUCUCAAGAAACAGAUAAGGAGAAAGAGAUGUUAUCGAGUUUGCUUAUUGCAUCUUACAUGAUCUGCUUAUAAUAUCCUAUCAUUGCCUUCUUUUUGGUUUUCCACCCAGUGUUCGGUAUCCAAAUUGGAGCCCAAUUAAAUUCGGAUUCGCGCCGUAAAGUUCCACAUUGAGGGGUAAAGCGCUCCCUAACAAAGGCGACUCUGUACCCAAAGGGGUGGUUAAGAAUGAAAGAGUACUUACCAUAUUAAGC
rnacentral:lncRNA from 1 species